GGCCUAACACAUGCAAGUCGAGCGGAAACGACACUAACAAUCCUUCGGGUGCGUUAAUGGGCGUCGAGCGGCGGACGGGUGAGUAAUGCCUAGGAAAUUGCCUUGAUGUGGGGGAUAACCAUUGGAAACGAUGGCUAAUACCGCAUGAUGCCUACGGGCCAAAGAGGGGGACCUUCGGGCCUCUCGCGUCAAGAUAUGCCUAGGUGGGAUUAGCUAGUUGGUGAGGUAAUGGCUCACCAAGGCGACGAUCCCUAGCUGGUCUGAGAGGAUGAUCAGCCACACUGGAACUGAGACACGGUCCAGACUCCUACGGGAGGCAGCAGUGGGGAAUAUUGCACAAUGGGCGAAAGCCUGAUGCAGCCAUGCCGCGUGUAUGAAGAAGGCCUUCGGGUUGUAAAGUACUUUCAGUUGUGAGGAAGGGUGUGUAGUUAAUAGCUGCGCAUCUUGACGUUAGCAACAGAAGAAGCACCGGCUAACUCCGUGCCAGCAGCCGCGGUAAUACGGAGGGUGCGAGCGUUAAUCGGAAUUACUGGGCGUAAAGCGCAUGCAGGUGGUUCAUUAAGUCAGAUGUGAAAGCCCGGGGCUCAACCUCGGAACUGCAUUUGAAACUGGUGAACUAGAGUACUGUAGAGGGGGGUAGAAUUUCAGGUGUAGCGGUGAAAUGCGUAGAGAUCUGAAGGAAUACCAGUGGCGAAGGCGGUCCCCUGGACAGAUACUGACACUCAGAUGCGAAAGCGUGGGGAGCAUACAGGAUUAGA
rnacentral:rRNA from 1 species